rnacentral:rRNA from 1 species
UACGGAGGGUGCGAGCGUUGUCCGGAAUCACUGGGCUUAAAGGGUGCGUAGGCGGGCCAUCAAGUCAGGGGUGAAAGCCCCCAGCUCAACUGGGGAAGUGCCUCUGAUACUGGUGGCCUCGAGCGAGGUAGGGGCGUGCGGAACUUCCGGUGGAGCGGUGAAAUGCGUAGAUAUCGGAAGGAACAUCGGUGGCGAAAGCGGCGCGCUGGACCUCUUCUGACGCUGAGGCGCGAAAGCCAGGGGAGCGAACGGG